rnacentral:rRNA from 1 species
AACCGGAUUAGAUACCCUGGUAGUCCACGCUGUAAACGAUGUCGAUUUGGAGGUUGUGCCCUUGAGGCGUGGCUUCCGGAGCUAACGCGUUAAAUCGACCGCCUGGGGAGUACGGCCGCAAGGUUAAAACUCAAAUGAAUUGACGGGGGCCCGCACAAGCGGUGGAGCAUGUGGUUUAAUUCGAUGCAACGCGAAGAACCUUACCUACUCUUGACAUCCAGAGAACUUUCCAGAGAUGGAUUGGUGCCUUCGGGAACUCUGAGACAGGUGCUGCAUGGCUGUCGUCAGCUCGUGUUGUGAAAUGUUGGGUUAAGUCCCGCAACGAGCGCAACCCUUAUCCUUUGUUGCCAGCGGUUCGGCCGGGAACUCAAAGGAGACUGCCAGUGAUAAACUGGAGGAAGGUGGGGAUGACGUCAAGUCAUCAUGGCCCUUACGAGUAGGGCUACACACGUGCUACAAUGGCGUAUACAAAGAGAAGCGACCUCGCGAGAGCAAGGCGGACCUCAUAAAGUACGUCGUAGUCC